GACGAACGCUGGUGGCGUGCUUAACACAUGCAAGUCGAACGCUGAAGACCUGGCUUUUGUUGGGUUGGAUGAGUGGCGAACGGGUGAGUAACACGUGAGUAACCUGCCCUCUUCUUUGGGAUAACGCCCGGAAACGGGUGCUAAUACUGGAUAUUCACUGAUCUUCGCAUGGGGGUUGGUGGAAAGGUUUGUUCUGGUGGGGGAUGGGCUCGCGGCCUAUCAGCUUGUUGGUGGGGUGAUGGCCUACCAAGGCUUUGACGGGUAGCCGGCCUGAGAGGGUGACCGGUCACAUUGGGACUGAGAUACGGCCCAGACUCCUACGGGAGGCAGCAGUGGGGAAUAUUGCACAAUGGGCGAAAGCCUGAUGCAGCGACGCCGCGUGAGGGAUGGAGGCCUUCGGGUUGUAAACCUCUUUCGCUCAUGGUCAAGCCGCAACUGUGGGUUGUGGUGAGGGUAGUGGGUAAAGAAGCGCCGGCUAACUACGUG
rnacentral:rRNA from 1 species